rnacentral:rRNA from 1 species
UUGUAAGGUUAAGGAAUGAAGGGCACACAGUGAAUGCCUAGGCACUAAGAGCCGAAGAAGGACGCAACUAACGGCGAAACGCCACGGGGAGCAGUAAGUACGCGACGAUCCGUGGGAAUCCGAAUGGGGAAACCCACCACAUGGAAGAUGUGGUAUCCAAUUUAUUGGAGGGAAAACGCAGGGAACUGAAAUAUCUAAGUACCUGCAGGAAAAGAAAGUAACAACGAUUCUGGUAGUAGUGACGAGCGAACCCGGAAGAGCCAAACACCAUAAUAGUAAAAAAACUUCUGAUUAAGCGAAUGGCGUGGGAAAGCCAACCGAAGAGGGUGAGAGUCCUGUAGUUGAAAAUCAGAGGACUAGGGUGUUAAAAAGUACGGCGAGACACGAGAAAUCUUGUCGGAAGAUGCGAGGACCAUCUCGUAAGGCUAAAUACUCCUUAGUGACCGAUAGUGAACCAGUACCGUGAGGGAAAGGUGAAAAGAACCCCGGGAGGGGAGUGAAAUAGAACCUGAAACUGUGUGCUUACAAGUAGUCAAAGGCCGUUAAUGGCUGAUGGCAUGCCUUUUGUAGAAUGAACCGGCGAGUUACGGUAUCUGGCAAGGUUAAGCUUUAAGGAGCGGAGCCGAAGCGAAAGCGAGUCUGAAUAGGGCGUUAAGUCAGGUGCUGUAGACCCGAAACUGGGUGAGCUAGCCAUGAGCAGGUUGAAGUUUGGGUAAGACCAAAUGGAGGACCGAACGAGGGAUUGUUAAAAAAAUCUUCGAUGACUUGUGGCUAGGGGUGAAAUUCCAAUCGAACUCAGAGAUAGCUGGUUCUCCCCGAAAUAGCUUUAGGGCUAGCGUCGGCGUAAAGUUUUGUGAAGGUAGAGCACUGAAUGUGUGAUGGCCCCACCUCGGGGUACUGAGCCCAAUCAAACUACGAAUGUCACAAAAUAUAGCCGGCAGUCAGACUGUGGGUGAUAAGGUUCAUGGUCAAAAGGGAAAGAGCCCAGACCGCCAGAUAAGGUCCCAAAAUUGAUGCUAAGUGGAAAAGGAAGUAGGGAUGCACAAACAACUAGGAGGUUGGCUUAGAAGCAGCCAUCCUUUAAAGAGUGCGUAAAAGCUCACUAGUCGAGUGACUCCGCGCCGAAAAUGUACCGGGGCUAAGCAUCAUACCGAAUCUGCGGAUUUAAAGAAAUUUAAGUGGUAGGGGAGCGUUCUUAGGGCGGUGAAGGUAGAUCGGAAGGACUACUGGAGCGCUAAGAAGUGAGAAUGCCGGUGUAAGUAACGAAAAGACAGGCGAGAAUCCUGUCCGUCGAAAACCCAAGGUUUCCAGGGGAAGGUUCGUCCGCCCUGGGUAAGUCGGGGCCUAAGGUGAGGCUGAGAAGCGUAGCCGAUGGAUAGCAGGUAGAGAUUCCUGCACUAGUUAAGUAACUGAUGGAGUGACAGAGCAGGCUAACGUCCGCCCCUGAGUGGAUUGGGGACAAGGGAUCAAGGUUUGUGCGUAGGCAAAUCCGCGCACUAUAAGACUGAGAUCCGGUAGGUAAAGGAUGAUGACGUCAUACUUUCAAGAAAAGCUUCUAGGGUUAAUUAUUUAACUACCCGUACCGUAAACCGACACAGGUGGGAAGGUAGAAUAUACUAAGACGCGCGAGAAAACCCUUGUUAAGGAACUCGGCAUAAUGACUCCGUAACUUCGGGAUAAGGAGGACUUUUAAUGAAAAAAGAAAGUCGCAGAGAAAAGGCCCAAGCGACUGUUUAUCAAAAACACAGGUCUAUGCAAAACCGUAAGGUGAAGUAUAUGGGCUGACGCCUGCCCGGUGCUGGAAGAUUAAGAGGAGAUGUCAUGAAAAGAAGCAUUGAAUUGAAGUCCCAGUAAACGGCGGCCGUAACUAUAACGGUCCUAAGGUAGCGAAAUUCCUUGUCAGGUAAGUUCUGACCCGCACGAAAGGCGUAACGAUUUGGGCACUGUCUCAACAAGGGACUCGGUGAAAUCAAGCUGCCGGUGAAAACNNNNNNNNNNNNNNNNNNNGACUCGGUGAAAUCAAGCUGCCGGUGAAAACGCCGGCUACCCGCGACAGGACGAAAAGACCCCAUGGAGCUUUACUGUAGCUUGAUAUUGACAUUGGGUGUAAGAUGUACAGGAUAGGUGGGAGACUGAGAAUCUAGAACGCUAGUUUUGGAGGAGUCGACCUUGGGAUACCACCCUUCGUGCAUCUGAUGUCUAACCCGCCUGAGUGGAUCAGGGGGAACAGUGUCUGGUGGGCAGUUUGACUGGGGCGGUCGCCUCCCAAAGAGUAACGGAGGCGCCCAAAGGUACCCUCAGAAUGGUUGGAAAUCAU